GUGGGGAAUCUUGCGCAAUGGGCGAAAGCCUGACGCAGCCAUGCCGCGUGAAUGAUGAAGGUCUUAGGAUUGUAAAAUUCUUUCACCGGGGACGAUAAUGACGGUACCCGGAGAAGAAGCUCCGGCUAACUUCGUGCCAGCAGCCGCGGUAAUACGAAGGGGGCUAGCGUUGCUCGGAAUUACUGGGCGUAAAGGGCGCGUAGGCGGACAGCUUAGUCAGAGGUGAAGGCCCAGGGCUCAACCUUGGAAUUGCCUUUGAUACUGGCUGUCUUGAGUUUGGGAGAGGUGAGUGGAACUCCGAGUGUAGAGGUGAAAUUCGUAGAUAUUCGGAAGAACACCAGUGGCGAAGGCGACUCACUGGCCCAAUACUGACGCUGAGGCGCGAAAGCGUGGGGAGCAAACAGGAUUAGAUACCCGUGUAGUCC
rnacentral:rRNA from 1 species